rnacentral:rRNA from 1 species
AAUAUUUGACAAUGGGGGUAACCCUGAUCCAGCCAUGCCGCGUGUGUGAAGAAGGUCUUCGGAUUGUAAGUCACCUUCAGUUGGGAGGAAGGGCUUUAGGUUAAUCCCCUGAAGUUUUGACGUUACCAACAGAAUAAGCACCCGCCAACUCUGUGCGCGCAGCCGCGGUAACACAGAGGGUGCAAGCGUUAAUCGGAAUUACUGGGCGUAAAGCGGGCGUAGGUGGUUCAGUAAGAUGGGUGUGAAAUCCCCGGGCUUAACCUGGGAACUGCUUUCAUAACUGCUGAGCUAGAGUACGGUAGAGGGUAGUGGAAUUUCCUGUGUAGCGGUGAAAUGCGUAGAUAUAGGAAGGAACACCAGUGGCGAAGGCGACUACCUGGACUGAUACUGACACUGAGGUGCGAAAGCGUGGGGAGCAAAC